UCACUCGGUGACCCCCGGUGUGGAUGU
rnacentral:piRNA from 1 species